rnacentral:rRNA from 1 species
CCUACGGGAGGCUGCAGUGGGGAAUAUUGGACAAUGGGCGCAAGCCUGAUCCAGCCAUGCCGCGUGGGUGAUGAAGGCCUUAGGGUUGUAAAGCCCUUUCGGCGGGGAAGCGGUACCCGCAGAAGAAGCCCCGGCUAACUUCGUGCCAGCAGCCGCGGUAAUACGAAGGGGGCUAGCGUUGCUCGGAAUCACUGGGCGUAAAGCGCACGUAGGCGGAUUGCUAAGUCAGGGGUGAAAUCCUGGAGCUCAACUCCAGAACUGCCUUUGAUACUGGCGAUCUCGAGUUCGGGAGAGGUGAGUGGAACUGCGAGUGUAGAGGUGAAAUUCGUAGAUAUUCGCAAGAACACCAGUGGCGAAGGCGGCUCACUGGCCCGAACUGACGCUGAGGUGCGAAAGCGUGGGGAGCAAACAGGAUUAAUACCCUUGUAGUC